rnacentral:rRNA from 1 species
UACGUAGGUGGCAAGCGUUGUCCGGAUUUACUGGGCGUAAAGAGCGCGCAGGCGGUCGUCCAAGUCGCGUGUGAAAGCCCCCGGCUCAACUGGGGAGGGUCACGCGAUACUGGUCGACUCGAAGGCAGGAGAGGGAAGUGGAAUUCCCGGUGUAGUGGUGAAAUGCGUAGAUAUCGGGAGGAACACCAAUGGCGAAGGCAGCUCGCUGGGACGUUACUGACGCUGAGACGCGAAAGCGUGGGGAGCAAACAGG